rnacentral:lncRNA from 1 species
UCAAGAAGAAGGUAUCAAGAGGCAGUUCACUGUGGCAUAUACUCCACAGCAAAAUGGAGUGGCAGAGCGGAUGAACAGAACAUUGUUAGAAAGAACAAGGGCAAUGUUGAGAACUGCGGGGUUAGCCAAGUCAUUUUGGGCAGAAGAAGUCAAAAUCGCCUGUUAUGUGAUCAAUCGGUCGCCAUCAACCGCAAUUGAUCUGAAGACGCCUAUGGAAAUGUGGAUUGGUAAACCAACUGAUUAUUCUCACUUACAUGUAUUUGGAAGUCCUGCGUAUGUUAUGUACAACACCCAAGAAACAUCAAAGUUAGAUCCAAAAUCCAGAAAAUGUAUUUUCUUAGGAUAUGCUGAUGGAGUGAAGGGGCACCGCCUGUGGGAUCCCACUGCCCACAAGGUGAUAAUCAGCAGAGAUGUCAUAUUUGCGGAAGGCAAAAUGCAAGAAAAAGAAAAUGAUAGCACUUCAAAAGAAAAACCAGAGACUACUACAGUCGAAGUUGGAGACGAACGAGAAGUUAUAGAUACUUUUGAAGCAACACUAGAGCACGAAGAACAAGUUGAAUCUAAUGCUCCAGAUGUUCGACGAUCAACACGGGAGAGAAAAGAACCGGCUUGGCAUUCAGAUUAUAUUAUGGAGGGCAAUGUUGCAUACUGCUUACUGACAGAAGAUGGAGAGCCAUCAACUUUCCAUGAGGCUAUAAAUAGUCAAGAAGUUUCUCUGUUGAUGGCAGCAAUGCAAGAAGAAAUUGAAGCUCUUCAAAAGAAC